GGGGUUAUAUCCACUUGUGAUUUUCAAAAAAAAUUUUUUUUUUUUUUUUCAUUUUUUGAAUGUAAAUAUAUUCAAGAAUAUUCUCUGAAAAUUUCAAAUCGAUCCGACAAUUAGUUUCGGAGAUAUGAGCGUAUUAGUAAGAACGUCUCCGAGCGUUCGAAAGUAAGCGGAGCACGAGCCGGAGUAGCAGCUGUUUCUGGUAGCCGCUAUACUUUUGAUCUCGACUUAUAUUGUGUUUGGGACCCUAAGAUAAUAAUACAAAAGGUCUAGUUUAUACGUGAAACCUAUGUUGAGGAAUUUUAAGUUAAAAAUAUGUGAACUCAUCAGUUAAAAGUGAUCUUCCACGUGGACAAGUUGUGUUUUUGCUCAGUUUGUGUAUUUCUCAGUGUGUAUAGUUUAAUUAAUUAAAGUAAAAAAUGCCUCGUAAAAUUAGCAGAGAAACUCGUAGAACUUCCAGUGAACAGUUGUCUCGAAGAAAUAAACGGAAGAACGUUUUUAAUCCGAAAACCGUGGAAUAUGAUGAUAGCAGUUUGAUUAUGAGGCCUUACCACCUGAUGUUGCAACAGCUAUUUUUCCAAUUUACGAAGAUCUAAGUAACAAAAAAUUAUUGGAACGAUGCGUUGGUGGUUUUACCCAGAACAAUAAUGAAAGUUAUAAUCAGCUGAUAUGGAAAAUAACUCCAAAAAUUAUUCCAGCUGGCUCUAAAAUUGUGGAAAUAGCAGCAAACAUUGCAGCCGGGGUCUUUAAUGAAGGUAAAACAUCUCUUCUUUAUUAUAUGAGUGCUAUGGGAUUAUCACUUGGACCCAAUGCUCAUUCCUUCGUGAGUAAAGAGGACGCAGAGCGCAUCUCAAUUUCGGACGCAAGAGCGCAAGGGUCGACGCGCGAGGGGAGAAUGGCUCGUAGACAACAACAACUAAACAUUUUGGAUGCAAACGACGAAGUAGAGGGUUCCUCUUAUGGUACUGGAAUAGAUGACACGAUAUAAUUUGGACCAGAGAUAUCUUGUACACCGCCAAGCACUUUUUUUUGGAGGUCUCUCCGCAGAUCAUCUACAGGAGCUAGGGGAUCCAAUAUUUUUUUAAAUAAACCGCUGAUUGUUAAAGUACAUUAAAUUCUCUUUAAGUACAUUUUUUCAAUUAAUGUAUAAAAUAAAAUGCCUCGUCGGAAAAAAUUCACAAAAAAA
rnacentral:lncRNA from 1 species